UACGGGGGGGGUAAGCGUUGUUCGGAAUUACUGGGCGUAAAGGGCUCGUAGGCGGCCAACUAAGUCAUACGUGAAAUCCCUCAGCUUAACUGGGGAACUGCGUGUGAUACUGGAUGGCUUGGAUUUGGGAGAGGGAUGCGGAAUUCCAGGUGUAGCGGUGAAAUGCGUAGAUAUCUGGAGGAACACCGGUGGCGAAGGCGGUGGUCUGGGCCGGAACUGACGCUGAAUAGCGAAAGCGUGGGUAGCGAACAGG
rnacentral:rRNA from 1 species